CCUACGGGAGACAGCAGUGAGGAAUAUUGGUCAAUGGGCGGGAGCCUGAACCAGCCAAGCCGCGUGAGGGAAGAAGGUACAGCGUAUCGUAAACCUCUUUUGUCAGGGAACAAAGGCGGGGACUAGUCCCCGGAUGAGGGUACCUGGAGAAAAAGCAUCGGCUAACUCCGUGCCAGCAGCCGCGGUAAUACGGAGGAUGCGAGCGUUAUCCGGUUUUAUGGGGUUUAAGGGGUGCGCAGGCGGCCUGUUAAGUCAGCGGUAAAAGCCCGGGGCUCAACCCCGGCGAGCCGUUGAAACUGGCGGGCUGGAGUUGGAGAGAGGUACGCGGAAUGCGCGGUGUAGCGGUGAAAUGCUUAGAUAUCGGGCAGAACCCCGAUUGCGAAGGCAGCGUACCGGCUCCACACUGACGCUGAGGCACGAAAGCGUGGGUAUCGAACAGGAUUAGAUACCCUGGUAGUC
rnacentral:rRNA from 1 species